rnacentral:rRNA from 1 species
UACGUAGGUGGCGAGCGUUAUCCGGAAUGAUUGGGCGUAAAGGGUGCGUAGGCGGCAAAAUAAGUCUGGAGUGAAAGGCUACAGCUCAACUGUAGUAUGCUCUGGAAACUGUUUAGCUAGAGUACAGAAGAGGGUGAUGGAACUCCAUGUGUAGCGGUAAAAUGCGUAGAUAUAUGGAAGAACACCAGUGGCGAAGGCGGUCACCUGGUCUGUAACUGACGCUCAAGCACGAAAGCGUGGGGAGC